rnacentral:rRNA from 1 species
UACGGGGGGGGCAAGCGUUGUUCGGAAUUACUGGGCGUAAAGGGCUCGUAGGCGGCCAACUAAGUCGGAUGUGAAAUCCCCAGGCUCAACUUGGGAACUGCAUCCGAUACUGGAUGGCUUGAAUCCGGGAGAGGUGAGUGGAAUUCCUAGUGUAGAGGUGAAAUUCGUAGAUAUUAGGAAGAACACCAGUGGCGAAGGCGGCUCACUGGCCCGGUACUGACGCUGAGGCGCGAAAGCGUGGGGAGCAAACAGG